rnacentral:lncRNA from 1 species
GGAACCUUUAUUAGAUCUAGGAAAAAAUGGAUUGAGGAGGGAGAACAGAAUUCAUCCUAUUUCUUUAGACUUGAGAUAUUUCACUCUACAAAUAACACUAUCCAUAAGUUAAACAUUGAUGGUGUUAUUACAGGUGACCAAAAAUGUAUCGCUAAAUACUGUAGCAAUUUUUACAGAAAAUUGUAUAGCUCUACGUACUGUCAGGAAUCCACAGAUAUGUUUUUUAACUCACUGAAUAAUGUUCACUCUAUCAGUGAUAUAGAAUCUAAACAGUGUGAUGAACCCAUCAAAGUUGAAGAGAUUAUAGAGUCUAUCAAACAUCUAAAGAGCAAUAAAUCACCAGGUGUUGAUGGAAUUACUUCAGAAUUUUACAAAUGAUUUUCUGAACAAGUAGCUCCCUUCCUAUUUGAAGUCUUUUUAGAGAGUAAUAAAAACAAUUUUCUCCCUCCAACAAUGAGUCAUGGGUUAAUAACACUGAUACCUUAGCCUAAAAAAGAAGAGCUGCUCAUCGAUAACUGGCGUCCAAUUUGCCUUCUUAAUAAUGACUAUAAAAUAUCAGCACUCUCCAAGGUGCUAAUUAAGUCAAAGUAUUUUAGACGUCACUGCAGUAUGCCUACAUACUUGAGUAUAGCGGGGCUUACACAAGUCCGAAUUUCAUGUAGCCUAAUUUUCUAGACAUCAAUGUACAACAACAUUUUUAGAAGACAUUGCAGAACACCCGCAGUGGGGCUUACAAGACCCGAAUUUCAUAUAAUUUUCAAGACAUCAAUGUAGCAAUAGAACAUAUAGCGCAAUGUCAGAAUAUAACUUCAAAUGAAAUAAAUCAAUGUAGGCUACAGCAGAACACACAUAUGCGAAUAUAUAGGCCUGCCUAUGUGAUAAUAUGAAGCACAUAUUCAGAUUACAAGUUAAAGGGAAAAAAAUGUCCUGCCUUAGUUUUCAAAACCACCCACAAUUACUCUCCCCAUGUCAAGUCCAUUUAACUUCUGAGAGUCAACUUGUUGCUCAAAGCCAUGAGCGGACAUGUGGCUGUGAUGUUUAGCCUCCUUCUAAGGCUGUUCUGAAGACUUUGGCUGUAGUUUCUAUUUUCUUCUUCUUUGUCUUGAGUGUUAACCUGGGUGUCUUCUUUAGCCUUGUCUACAAGGCUUGCUGCCACAAAAUGCGCCUUGGUUCAGGCAUGUUCAAAAAUCUUUUUACUGUUGUUGGGUUUUUUUUACAUCUGAUGCGUAGGAUGUUCAUUUACUGUACAUUCCACCCACUCUUUUGCUAGUUUAAUCCCUCCAGGUGUUUCUAGACCCAAGCGCCAUACCUUUUUGCAUGUUGUACAGCCCAACUUUGAAUUCUGCAUGACAAGCCAGGGGUUAUACUUUUGCUGUGUCGGUGGAUGCGCUGCACCCCUCCCCCCAGCUCCCCGUCUCCCUCUCCCGCUGAGUCUGACUCGCUAGCAGGCCUACUAGCUAGUGGAGGUGCCAGUGGUCAUGCUGAACUGGCGGGAUUAGCAUCGCUAUCAGGAACAGUUUGCCCCUCACUCUGCUCCUCCGGCACGGACAGUUCUCUGGCUCGUUCUGGAUUCAAUUCACCAUCUUGCUCUGGAUUUUUGACUUGAAAAAUGUCAAACUCGAUUGUCUUUUCUUAUACAUUUUUUAUUUGGCUUUCCCACGCUUCAGAUUCAGUAGGGAGAUGACUUGAUUAGGCUACGUGACGUGAUUACGUAGGGACCUUAACGCUGAUCGCUUUUAUUAGAAUGUCAACAGUGCGAACAGUGAAAUAAUUAAUCAAUCAUGCUGCGAGAGGUCAAGUCAAAUCUGAGUGGUACCCGAUCUGAGCAAAUACGUGCCUGAACAAACAGUCAAAUCUGAGAUGUGCCGGAUCCUGUUCUGGCAGGAUCCAGCUCAAAUUAAGCACUGGUGCUAUCUAGUGGAAACCCUUCAGAUGGGAGAGUAAAGAUGGCGCCCACCCACAUACUGCGAUAUUGUCAACAGGGCUUAGCUUGGAUACCUGUGGUUUUUAUCGUCCUAGUCAUAUGUUGAUGAUAUUAGAGUUCGUGUGAAGAUAUGACAGAGCUGAGUGACUUGGUGUGUAGAGAGAAGAGGAGAGGUCCUAGAAGCGUGCAGAGCCUGAGAUGCCCCUGACAGGGUUGAGAGGAGGAUCUGAUGGUUCACGAUGUCCAAGGCAGCGGAUAGAUCUAGGAGGAUGAGAACAGAAGAGAGAUUCAGCUUUUGCAGUGCGGAGAACCUCUGUGGCACACGCAAACACACACACUCAGUUCAGAGUCAAUUUAGAAACUACUACAAAAUGCAACCCUUCGUAGACUUGUCCUGGAUGUUUUGACUGUUUUUUCUGCAAUGUGUGUCUGACUGUCACUGUGUGUGGCUCUUGCAGUCAUCUACAUGGUGUUCUUCCAGCUGUCCUUCAUCAUGUUUGUGUGGUCCUACUGGAACACCAUCUUAACCCGUCCUGCCAACCCCUCCAAAGAGCCACGUACUGCAGUAUUUCAUCAAGUUCUGGACAUGGCAUUCAAAGCUCCACAGGAAGAACUUUUGGC